UCCUACGGGAGGCAGCAGUGGGGAAUAUUGGGCAAUGGGCGAAAGCCUGACCCAGCAAUGCCGUGUGGGCGAUGAAGCUUCUAGGAGCGUAAAGCCCUUUUAUGAGCGAAGAAACGUAACUUGAGUAAUACGCUUGUUACUUGACGGUAACUCAUGAAUAAGCCCCGGCUAACUCCGUGCCAGCAGCCGCGGUAAUACGGAGGGGGCGAGCGUUGUUCGGAAUCACUGGGCGUAAAGGGCGUGUAGGCGGCCUUGUGAGUCAGAUGUGAAAGCCCCGAGCUCAACUUGGGAAUUGCAUUUGAUACCGCAGGGCUUGAGGCCGGGAGAGGGAAGUGGAAUUCCUGGUGUAGCGGUGAAAUGCGUAGAUAUCAGGAGGAACACCGGUGGCGAAGGCGGCUUCCUGGACCGGUACUGACGCUAAUGCGCGAAAGCGUGGGGAGCGAACGGGAUUAGAUACCCCGGUAGUCCACGCCGUAAACGAUGAGCACUAGGUGUAGUGGGUAUCGACCCCUGCUGUGCCGAAGCUAACGCAUUAAGUGCUCCGCCUGGGGAGUACGGUCGCAAGACUGAAACUCAAAUGAAUUGACGG
rnacentral:rRNA from 1 species